rnacentral:misc_RNA from 1 species
CGUGCAGAAUACAAUGAUGGUAGUAGGGGUGGUGGCAGUGAUUUUGUUGCUGGUUUUCUUUUAGGAGGCGCCAUAUUUGGAACUUUAGCUUAUAUUUUUGCUCCUCAGAUUAGAAGAUCCCUGCUAAAUGAAGAUGAAUAUGGGUUUCGGAGGGCCAAGCGACCAAUAUACUAUGAUGAAGGUUUAGAGAAGACUAGGCAGACCUUGAAUGCAAAAAUAAGCCAACUGAAUUCUGCUAUUGACAAUGUAUCUUCACGUUUGAGAGGUGGCAAUAAUUCACCUACGGUGCCUGUUGAAACUGAUCCCGAGGUAGAAGCUACCAUGUGAGAUUAGUUUAUGUUUCUUCAUUGUAGUCUGAGACUUCAUACCGUUUGAAAAACAGAUAUGCAACUGUGUCACCACUGUGCUUAUGGGAGGUUUAGCUUUUUUAUGUUUAAAUCAGAAUACAAGUGUUAUAGUUAACAUUAUUGCAGCAUACAACGCUGGCCUUUUUCAUGUAGACUCGAGAAUUUGGGGGUUUGUAGU